AAGGCUCAUAGGCACUGAGUUCUGUGAAAGGCUUUCCCUGUAUUUGAGGAUCUGGCCAUCUCUGAACGUGUCACCUCAUGGCAAGGACUUAGUGCGGUGAAGAGCAUACAGGAAGCACUUACUACAUCCCUGUUGGCUUGAGUUCAGGGGAAAAUGUGAUAGACCCCUGUCCUCCAUUACUCCACAUUCAACUGAGAGAUGGCUGGAGAGAGCUUGUGGGAUAAACUCAAGAGACAAGACCACCUCAGAAUGCGGCUUCUUCCAAAAGAGCAUUUGGCAGCUUUCUUCCAAGCCUGAGGGUA